UGGAACAUAGCUGAAAUGGCUGCCUGACCUGACUUAAAAAUUGGAUGGCAGUACAUCAGACUAGAAGAUUACAAGUAUUGAGGUGGACAAAAUGAAACCUGAGCCUACCAAAGCUGACAGAUUGCACAAGAAACACAUAAAUGCAGAUUGGAAGAUUCAUUCUCUGGAAAGUAGAAAAGGGCAUGUUAUUACAUACUGUUAUCACUGCCAUGACAGAAACCAUAUUGAGGAGCUGGUCCACCUGUAGGAAGAAUUGCGCUAUUGGUUGGAGCAGCACUAUUAUUACCCAGCCAUACACCAGCACUUAGUUUGUCAUAGGAAGCAUUUCUGAGCAGUUAUGGAGACCACUAACUAUGCAGUUGUUGCAGUGAAACUUGCACCAGUGUGUUUUCUGUGGAGAUAAAGAGAUAGUGUCCAGCAAUAAAGACCCAACUCAAGAUCUGACCUUGUAAGGCCAAUAUGAAAUAACUGUGUGGGAAAAUGGGAAAAACCAGCAGUCAGGAAUGCACGGAAAUCAUCAAAAGAACAGUGUUAAAUUAAUCUUGAAUAACUUGACAUCUAUUUUGUUUGACAUAUUUAUUCAUGGUGCAGUGAAAACAUUCUUUUUUUCUCAUGGUUAUUUAAAUUUAGAAUUGAUAGGAGGGAACAUCACUAUGUAGUUUCAUGUUCAUAGUCAGAUCAAAA